UACCAGCACCCCGAGUGGUCGGGACGAUUAUUGGGCCUAAAGCAUCCGUAGCCGGUUUUACAAGUCCUCCGUUAAAUCCAGCUGCUUAACAGAUGGGCUGCGGAGGAUACUAUAAGACUAGGAGGCAGGAGAGGCAAGCGGUACUCAGUGGGUAGGGGUAAAAUCCGUUGAUCCAUUGAAGACCACCAGUGGCGAAGGCGGCUUGCCAGAAUGCACUCGACGGUGAGGGAUGAAAGCUGGGGGAGCAAACCGG
rnacentral:rRNA from 1 species